rnacentral:rRNA from 1 species
UACGGGGGGGGCAAGCGUUGUUCGGAAUUACUGGGCGUAAAGGGCUCGUAGGCGGCCAACUAAGUCCGACGUGAAAUCCCCAGGCUUAACCUGGGAACUGCGUCGGAUACUGGAUGGCUUGAAUCCGGGAGAGGGAUGCGGAAUUCCAGGUGUAGCGGUGAAAUGCGUAGAUAUCUGGAGGAACACCGGUGGCGAAGGCGGCAUCCUGGACCGGCAUUGACGCUGAGGAGCGAAAGCCAGUGGAGCAAACGGG